rnacentral:rRNA from 1 species
CCUACGGGAGGCAGCAGUGGGGAAUAUUGCACAAUGGGGGAAACGCUGAUGCAGCGACGCCGCGUGAGUGAAGAAGUAUCUCGGUAUGGAAAGCUCUAUCAGCAGGGAAGAAAAUGACGGUACGUGAUUAAGAAGCCCCGGCUAACUACGUGCCAGCAGCCGGGGUAAUACGUAGGGGGCAAGCGUUAUCCGGAUUUACUGGGUGUAAAGGGAGCGUAGAGGGCUCUACAAGUCUGGAGUGAAAUGCCGGGGCUUAACCCCGGAACUGCCUUUGAAACUGUGCAGCUAGAGUGCAGGAGAGGUAAGUGGAAUGCCUAGUGUAGCGGUGAAAUGCGUAGAUAUUAGGAGGAACACCAGUGGCGAAGGCGGCUUACUGGACUGUAACUGACGUUGAGGCUCGAAAGCGUGGGGAGCAAACAGGAUUAGAUACCCGAGUAGUC